rnacentral:rRNA from 1 species
CAGCCGCCACGGGAAUACGUAGGGUGCAAGCGUUAAUCGGAAUUACUGGGCGUAAAGCGUGCGCAGGCGGUUAUAUAAGACAGAUGUGAAAUCCCCGGGCUCAACCUGGGAACUGCAUUUGUGACUGUAUAGCUAGAGUACGGCAGAGGGGGAUGGAAUUCCGCGUGUAGCAGUGAAAUGCGUAGAUAUGCGGAGGAACACCGAUGGCGAAGGCAAUCCCCUGGGCCUGUACUGACGCUCAUGCACGAAAGCGUGGGGAGCAAACAGGAUUAGAUACCCCUGUAGUCCCUGUCUCUUAUAC